AUGUGUUUAUGUAAGGCACCACCAGCUUUUGUGGAACAUGAAGAAAUAAAUGAUUCAUGUAUAAAACAUAAAGAAACAAUCGACUUUUAUCACAUUACUACUCUUUUUUUUCCCCCAAGGCCAAAUGUUUGUGAAGUCCCCCAACUGUGUGUGCAGCCGCUCACACACGCUGGCUCUGGAGACGGGGCUGUGCCGGCCUCGGAUGGUGUGUGGCUUGUGAAAGAAGGACCCGGUACUACACCAGCUACAGACAAGCAUACAGCAUGCAGCAACAGGCCAUCUACAAGUGCUGGCCUGGUUGGAGCCCACAGGACAAUGAACCUGGAUGCCUACACUGUCCUCUUUUUUGUCUUUUUAUUCCUGUGGGUCUGUCGUGUUACCCAUCCGUGAGCCUCCACCGCAUCCAUCUGAAGACUGAGCAGAGCCCUUUGGACAUGGUGAUCUGGGGUUGGCAGAGUGGGAAGAUCUGUAAUUUAUUUCCAGCAAACAUCAGGCUAUGGAGACCUCAGGUCCAGUGUGCAGUGAUGGGUGUUCACUUGUGAAUUGGAGCAUUCUUCUUAAGACUUCAAGGUCUGAGCAGUGCACCUGAUUCAUUGUUUUUGUAUUUUGACAGGCUGGGGAUAGGAAGUGGAAGGGAGAGAGUAUUCCAGGUAUUCAGGGAGUGAGAAGUAACAGUAGCCAGACAGACAAGUCAUGAACACAUAAAACAAAUAAGCACCAAAGCCUGAAUUACUAAUAUAAAGCAACAAGAGAAGCCACAUUUUAAAGCAGAUCAUAAUUAAUAAAAUAAUUUAUACAGAUAGUUAUUAAAGAUGU
rnacentral:lncRNA from 1 species